rnacentral:rRNA from 1 species
UACGUAGGCAGCAAGCGUUGUUCGGAAUUACUGGGCGUAAAGAGUGUGUAGGCGGUGCUCUAAGUUCGGUGUGAAAUCUCCCGGCUCAACUGGGAGGGUGCGCCGGAAACUGGGGUGCUGGAGCGCGGGAGAGGAAAGCGGAAUUCCUGGUGUAGCGGUGAAAUGCGUAGAUAUCAGGAGGAACACCUGCGGUGUAGACGGCUUCUGGACCAUUGCUGACGCUGAGGCACGAAGGCCAGGGAGCAAACGGG